rnacentral:misc_RNA from 1 species
GUUGAUAUGUAAGCAUGUUUGACAUUAAAAAAUCUUCAUCUUAUCUUUUAAUUCAUUGGGAACAAAAAUGUUGCAUACUUUGCACCAUUUCUGGUGUCUGCUAAUUUGAACUUGAGCCAGGGAGCCUUUUUUUGAAGUUUACUUCCCUGUUUAAGGUUACAUUUGGUCCUCUUUGAUGCGUGCCUAUGUAUUUGAUGCGUGCCUAUGUAACUGUUACUGUAUCAUAAUUAUCGUAUAGUUAUCUUUUAGCAUUUUUGUUCAACCACUUUUGCAACAAGAAAGUGCGUGGCUAAAGCGUCAGGCUCUGCUUUAUCUAGCUUUUGACCAUGCCUUUAUCUCUAUGAGCUAUGCUAUCUUUGAGACAUGUUUAGCAUGGCAAUGAAAUGCUUAUAAAUAAGAAAAAUUGUUUAACACUCAUAAUUUUGUGAUCCAGAAAAUAUUUACAAUAACAAGUAAUUUUCUACUUUUUCUUCCUCUUUUCCUUUUAAAAAUACUGGGGUUUUGGAUGAAUGGGGUUGUUAUGAAUUGACUUCUGUUGUAUUUCCUUUUUUGCUGGUGGGUG